rnacentral:lncRNA from 1 species
ACUCCACUGUUUGGCUGGGAAAGGACCGAGACGCGCUCAGUGCACAGGGGGCCGGCUGCGGCCAUAAAUCUCCGGGCGGGCCCUCCUUCCCGCUGCUCACGCCGGGGUGCUCCGGGCCGGUCUCGUGUCCCGGGCCACGCCGCGCACCCUGCUCACCCCAUCACGGCCUGGGGACCCGGAGACUGCGCAGGGAACCACGCCAGGAGCUUCUCCGUUCACCAAAGAGAGGGAACGGCCUCGUUCCUCGGUGUCAACACCAUCCAUCUCUGAGGGCGCUGGACCCUGAGGUGGCCCGAGCUUCACAGGAUCACCGCCUUGGGGGGGUUGGAUGAUGUUCCCCCAAAACUUCCUGUCCACCUGUGACCUCAGAAUGUGACCUUAUUUGGAAACAGGAUCUUUGCAGGUGUCAUUGGUUAAGUAUCUCAAGAGGAGAUCAUCCUGGGCUUAGGAUGGGCCCUAAAUCCAGUGACCGGUGUCCUUCCAAGAAAAGGAGGGGCGCCGGGCGGGCUGGUUCACACCUGUAAUCCCACCGCUUUGGGAGGCCAAGGCGGGCGGAUCAUGAGGUCAGGAGAUCGAGACCAUCCUGGCUAACAUGGUGAAACCCCGUCUCUACUAAAAACACAAAAAAUUAGCCAGGCGUGGUGGCGGGUGCCUGUAGUCCCAGCUACUCGGGAGGCUGAGGCAGGAGAAUCACUUGAACCUGGGAGGUGGAGGUUGCAGUGAGCUGAGAUCAUUCCAUUGCACUCCAGCCUAGGUGACAGAGAGAAACUCCAUCUCAAAAAAAAAACAAAGAAAAAAGAAAAGAAAAGGAGGGGACACAGGCACAGAGAAGGCCAUGUGACGACGGAGACAGAUGGGAGCGAUGCAGCUACAGGCCUGGGAACACCGAGGAUUUCUGGAGCCUCGGGAAGCUGCAGGGAGGGCUGGAACGGAGCCUCCCCGACGGCCUCCAGAAGCAGCCAGCCCUGCCCACACCUUGAGUUCGGACUGCUGGCCUCCAGCACUGUGCAAGAGCAAACUCCUGUCAUUAGAAGCAACCUAGGCUGUGGCCACCCGCCCAUCUCCCUAGGAGGUCUGGCUGCUCUUGGAUACCCGGAGCCUCCUACCUCAGCUUGCUGGGCACUGACCUUGAGCGUUGCUCCCUCGACCUGCAGUGCUCCCUGCAGCGCCCCACCCCAUGGGGGACACAGGAGGGGACUCUCAGAGCCGUCCCCCCGACAGGCCGAGGCUCCUCCCAGGAGAGGACCCCACUGCCCCGCCAGCACUGGACACUGGACACUGUUUUCCAUAAACAUUUCUUUGAACUGAAUUUCAUUCUUCUCACCCAAGAAAUCUCUGGAAAACAAUGCUGAGGCCAGGGUGGAGUGCCGGGGAGAGGGGAUGUUUUAAUGGUUUGUGGAGGGUUUUCUGUUUUGUUUUGUUUGUUUUUUUCUGGCAUUGUCUCUCUCUUCUGAUUUCCCUGUAACUGACAGGGAGGAAAUGGAUUCUGAAAAUGGGUUCCUUCCCACCCCUGGGGGCUCUGAGAUCAAAGUGUGGUGGGGCCGGGUGGACAGGACUUGGUGCUCCGAGGUGGGGUCCUUCCUGAUUCCCUCCCACCUUCUCCACCAUGCCCCCCUUUACCCAACGGGGCCUGGCCAGGAAGGGGCAUACCAGGGGGCUAUUCUGGGGGACAGGUCUCCAGGGCACCUGCCCUGCGUGCCCACCCAGUGAGGGGUUCCUGGCCCAGAGUUGCCCCCUCAGCAUAUCCCAGGGGGCUGGUGACCCUGUAGGCCCCUCCACUUUGCUAAAGAGGAUACAGGGAGGGUUGGUGGCCCAGAACUCACGAACCACUGCUGACCAGGAAUGGCCAAGGGAGGCCCACACAGAACACCCAAUCCCACAGCCACCUGCUCUAGUACCACUUGGGGCCUCUCCAGCCACUGGCCUGGCUGCAUUUGCUCUCCAAAACUGCCACUUUCUUUUAGUUUUUAAGGGACAGGCUCUUGCUCUGUCACUGAGGCUGGAGUCCAGUGGCACAAUCAUAGCUCACUGCAGCCUCAAACUCCCGGGCUCAAGCGAUUCUCCCACCUCAGCCUCCUGAGUAGCUGGGACCACAGGCACACGCUACCACAUUGGGUGUUUGGAUGGAUGAGUAGAUGGGUGGAUGGGUGGGUGGGUGGGUAGGUGGAUCGGUGGGUGAAUGAGUAGAUGGGUGAGUGGAUGGAUGGAUGGAUGGAUGAGUGUGUGGAUGGAUGGAUGGAUGGAUGGAUGGAGAAGUGGAUAGAUGAGUGAAUGGAUAGGUGGAUGGGUGGGUAGAUGGAUGGACAGGUGGGUGGGUGGGUGGGUAGGUGAACGGAAGAGUGGGUGGAUGGGUGAAUGGAUGGAUGGAUAGAUAGAUAGAUAGAUAGAUAGAUAGAUAAACAGACAGACAGAUAGGCUAAUGGAUGGAUGAAUUCGUGCUUUCUGUCCCUUGACCUGGUCUACAAGCCACUUCCCCAGCUAGACAAAGAGAGCUUAGAACCCCAUCCCUGCCAGGAAACAGACAAAAGCUGUCGGGGUCUUUUUUCUCUCUCUCAGCCUUACCUGGGACACACAGAGCUUUACGGUGGGGCCUUGUUCCAGUUGCUGCAGGCUGCCAUUCCUGAAGGUCGGGGGACAAGCUGCCUCUUCAACCCCAGCUCUGCUGGGGGCUCCUCAGCGGCUGGGGGAGUUGUGGGUGGGGCAGGAGACCUGGCGAGAAGCUCACGGGUACCCUCACCCACCUCAUCCCGCCCUGUGCCCAGCCCUGACCCCAGCCCUCCCUCUUUGUACCUCACCCCGUGGAAGGAAACACACUGAAGGUGGGGAGGGGUGGGCCAGAGCCUCAGACUCCUAAGACAAAGGGAGAAAAAUGGACCGAAGAGAGGCAGGGGGUAGACGCAGGCACUGCCUUUUUUCUUUUGUAGACAGGGUCUCACUCUUGUUCAGGCUGGAGUGCAGGGCGCCAUCAUAGCUCACCACAGCCUCCAACUACUGGGCUCAAGUGAUCCUGCCUCAGCCUCCAAAGUAGCUGGGACGACAGGCAUGCAUCACCAUGCUUGGCCAAUUUUUGUAUUUUUUGUACAGAUGGGGUCUCACUCUGUUGCCCAGGCUGAUCUUGAACUCCUGGCCUCCAGUGAUCCUCCUCAGCCUCCCAAAUCUUGGGGAUUACAGGCAUGAGCCACCACCCCCAGCCUUAUUUCCUGACAUUUCUAUGGUAAAAUUGAUUGCUUUUAUAAUCAGAAAAAAUAUACAGUGAGACUUAAAGACACGGUCUGUAACCUUGAGAGGCCAAAACAGCCCGCAGAGGGACAGGCGACUGGCCAUUUUGAUGCUAGGGCCCCAGGCACGAAGCAGGCAAGUCCCCCCUCCCCACUUUGGCCGGCGAGACUUUGAAAAGAAAGCUGGACGUGCAGGAGCAGGGGUUGGGAAGGGGAAUUCCAGGAAGGGGCCUGGGACUGGGGCCCUGGAACCAUGGUGGCCCCCCAGGCCAGAUCCACCCCUGGACAGGUGCAAGGACUCUGGGAGCGGCCCCAAGGAUCCAAAUACCUUCCUCAGCAGCCCCUUUAAUUUGCUUUCUGCAGAAAGUAAGCUAAUGCCGGCAGCGGAGACUUCAUUUAGGAGAAGAGCAGGCCUCGGCAUAUCCCUAGCAUUGGCAGCAUUCCUGGGAGGAGAGGAGGGGAAGGCUGGGGAGGGGAGGGAGACUGGGCUAGAGGGAGCCCGCAGAUUCACCUAAUUCCAGGGUGGAAUUGCUCGCCAGCCACCGUGCCCUCCAUCAUUCUCCAGAGGCCCCACCUAGUUUCCUCAUUCAUCAGUCACCAGGCCUUGUCCUAUGGCCCAGCCGGGGGGAGAUGUCAAGGCCAGGGACCCCUCUGAGGCUCAGAGAGGGGUGCGUAGCAGGAGCAGUAAAGCCAGGACUGGGCACGGUGGCUCACACCUGUGAUCCCAGCACUUAGAGAGACAGAGGCAGGAGGAUCGCUUGAAGCCAGGAGUUCAAGACCAACAUGGUGAGACCUCUGUCUCUGCCAAAAAAAAAAAAAAAGUACAUAUAUAUACACACGUAUAUAUAUAUACGUGUGUAUAUAUAUACGUGUAUAUAUAUACGUGUGUAUAUAUAUACGUGUAUAUAUAUACGUGUGUAUAUAUAUACGUGUAUAUAUAUACGUGUGUAUAUAUAUACGUGUAUAUAUAUACGUGUGUAUAUAUAUACGUGUAUAUAUAUACGUGUGUAUAUAUAUACGUGUAUAUAUAUACGUGUGUAUAUAUAUACGUGUAUAUAUAUACGUGUAUAUAUAUACGUGUGUAUAUAUGUAUAUAUAUACAAAUUUUUUAAAAGCCAGGACCUGCCUGGCCCAAGCUUCCUCCCUGGGGCCUCAGUAGAUGGUUCUAGACAGUGGAAUUCGUGUUCUAGGCCUGGGGCUCUGACCUCAGAGGCCCUGUCAGGAGAUUCAAACCAAGAAGUGAAAUGCAGUGAAAUUCAGACUUGUGCCUCUGUAUACGCCGCGGACACGUGUGUGCAAAGGCGUGUGCAUGUGCGUGUGCCUUGCUUCCUGGGUCAAAGUGGCUUCUGAUCCAGAGAUACUUUGAAGUUCCUUUUUUUUUUUUUUUUUUUUUUAGAGAGAGGGUCUUGCUCUGUCACCCAGGCUGGAGUGCAGUGGCGCGAUCACAGCUCACUGCAGCCUCAAACUCCUAGAUUCAGGCAAUCCUCCUGCCUCAGCCUCGCAAGUAGCUGGGAUCGAAAGCGUGCGUCACCACACCUGGCUAAUUUUUAAAUUUUUUCUAGAGACAGAGUCUGGCUAUGUUGCCCAGGCUGGUCUUGAACUCCUGGCCUGAAGCAACCUUCUGCCUCAGCCUCCCAGGUAUCUGGGACUGCAGAUGUGCACCACCAUCCCCAGCUAAUUUUUAAAUUUUUUCUAGAGAUAGAGUCUGGCUAUGUUGCACAGGCUAGUCCUGAACUCCUGGCCUCAAGCAGUCUUCCCACCUUGGCCUCCCAAAAAGCUGGGUUUAGGCGAGGCACGGUGGCUCACGCCUGUAAUCCCAGCACUUUGGGAGGCCAAGGCAGGCAGAUCACUUGAGGUCAGGAGUUUGGGGCCAGCCUGGCCAACAUGGUGAAACCCUGUCUCUACUAAAAAUACAAAAAAUAGCCAGGCAUGGUGGUGUGCGCCUGUAAUCCCAGCUACUCGGGAGGCUGAGGUAGGAGAAUUGCUUGAACCUGGGAGGCGGAGGUUGCAGUGAGCCAAGAUCGUGCCACUGUACUCUAGCCUGGGCGACAGAGCGAGCCUCCGUCUCAAAAAAAUAAAACAAAAUAAAAGGUUGGGUUUAUAGGCAUGAGCCACUGCACCUGGCCACUUCUAAGUCUUACUGGUUCCCUGCUCUGGGCAAGGCCUGGGCACAAUUUUACAGACGGGGAAAAUGAGGCCCAGGAUCCCACGGUGGUAGAACCGGCUUCUCACAGGCCUGCCGACUGGAAACUCCUCACAGGGUUCCCCCUGAGCCAACAUCCCCCUCCCGUGAUCCCAACCAGAGCUCCUUGCUGUCCUGGGCUGUGUCCCCAAUGGCGGGGCUGUGUCUCCGGCUCCUGGCCUAGGUGGCUCUGAGGGCACCUCUCUGGGCCUGGUCUGGCUGGAGGGGGCCCCAGGAGAGGGUCCCACAGGCGCCCCCCACCAGUCCGCGCCUGCUCCUUCCAGAUUCUGCAGGCUCUGGUGACACCUGCUGGCCACGCAUCCCAUCACCAUAGCAACCCAGGCUGGGCCUCUCAGCCCCCAGCAAGGUUCCCAUCUCAGACACAACGACUCCACCCCCACUGUGUGGGGCCCCAGGCCUCAGCUCAGAGGGGCCCCACCUCCCGCCACCCCCCUCCAGCUCCUCUGGGUCCCUCUGCUCAGUCCCCCUGGCCUGUGUCCACUUCACCCCAAGUCCUUCACCAUGCCCUGAACGGAGCCUAUCUCCCGUCACCCGGACAGUCACCUGUCACCUUGGCGCUGUCACAGCUCAGCCCCAUCCCCAGCUUCUCUGUGGCCCCCACAGACUCAGCAGGCUUUCGCAGACACACAGACACCUGUCCUGCCCGCGCUGUGCCUCAGGGAGAGGCGCAGGUCCCACCAAGCUGCACUGCCAGCCCCAUAAACGGCCCUGCGGUUCCCACCCGGGGGCUCUGCACCUGCGGCUCCCUCCCCAGAAUGCUUUUUCCAGCUUCCUCAGUCUUGCUAACAGUGAUUCAGCCAAGCCUUCCAGAACAUUCCGCCGGCUGUGACCUCCCCAAACCCUGCUCUGUGUUCCUCACACUGUCAUGGCCUGGGGACUGUCCCAUCCCAGCCAGGCCUCCUCCGUGGUGCUGCCAUGAUUUCAGGAUCCCCACGUGUCCAGGGCUGAGCCCAGGGCCGACCUAGGAGGUGUCUGCUGCCCUGAUCCUCUUGACCCUCCCACUCCAGGCCCCAGUCCCACCCCAGGAGGGUCCUCCCCAUCCCCACUCUCCCCUCCUCCCAGGGUCUGCAGGGAGCAGCUGGGCCACCACUUUGCCCAGAGGCAGUCCUGGGGCACAACCUGAGCCCACGUACCCAGCGUGGCACAGCCAGGGACGCAGUGCACAGGAGAGGGCUUAAGGGACCUCCCUGGAGACCCCCAAGUGGCUCCUCGAGUGACGGGGGCUGGUCAUGGACGUUGAACCACCUGGAGGGAGGCUGUGUGGAGAGGCCGAGCUCAAGAGACAGAGCCUUGGUCCUCCUGCCUGCCCCAGGGUGGCCUGUGGUCCUGGGCUGGCCACCACCUCUCGGGGCCUCAGUCUCCCCAUCUGCACUGGAGCGGGUGGGCACACUUGACCCCAUGGCUUGGCAAUGCCUGGCCACACUGCAGGGGCCGAGGGGGUGGCCAGCCCUGCCCCUGAUGCCCACCACACCCUAGGGACGGCUCAGAGCCCAGCCGCUCCUGGGGGCCUGGUCUAUGCCUGUCCCUGGCCCCACACCCCGCAGUCUGGUGGCAGCUGCUGCACCCGCACCUGGAAUGUCCCUGAAAUCCCCAAACCUCAGCUGACCCCAUGGGGGAAAGAGGGCUGGAACCUGCCCCCCUCUCCUCCCCUCCAAGGUGCAGACCCACCCUGUCCCCACACAGAGGGCACACUGAGUGCCCUGCCCCGCCCCGCUCUGCCCAGAGAGGCCGGAACAUCAGGGGAGCUUGGGCCAGUCUGGCCACGCCUUGGAAAUAGUGGCCACGCAUCAGCCCGGGGAGGCCCCAGGCCUGGUCAGCCUCCAGGUCCUGCCCGCCAGGCUCAGCUUCCCGGCCCUCCCGCCUCCUCUCCCCGCUCCGGUUAAUCUGUCAGUUCCAUCUGUCUCUGUCUUGUUUGUCUCUCUAUCUCUGUCUCAGUCUGUCUCGAUCUCUGUCUCUGCCUUGCUAUCUCUGUCUCCAUCUGCCUCUCUCUCUGUCUCUGCCUAUUUGUCUGUCUCUGUCUCUCCAUCUCUCUCUCUCUUUAUUUUUAAAAUUUUCUUUUAUAUAGAGACAGAGUCUUGCUGUGUUGCCCAGGCUGGUCUUCAACUCCUGGGCUCCAGUGAUCCUCCAGCCUUGGGCUCCCUAAGUGCUGGGAUUACAGGUGUGAACCACCGUGCCCAGCCAAGAAACAUCUCUAAACCCCUCUCUUCCUCCCAGCAGUGACUGUGAAGGGCACUGGGGACAAAUCCCUUUUUGAAAGGAUCUUCUGGAUGAUGUCAUGGAUUUGGGCCUCUUCCUGCUGGGGGUCACUGGGUGGUACUUCUUGGCCAUCCAGCCAAUAGCAACAGGCCAGCAUGUGAUGACGUCACUGUCACCCCCACUGUCUCCUCGGGUUCCAAGGAGCAAGAGGCUUGCACCAUUCCUCUCUAAUCUGAGAUGGAUUUUGUGGGUUUGCGUGGGGGGAAGGUUUUGUUUUUUUUUUUUUUAGCAAGAAUCUUCUUAAGCCAUACACCCAUCUCAUUAGGAUUAGUUUUGUUAAUCUAUAGAUCCACUUAUUCGGCCGCACGCCAGCCUCCGAGUGUCCCAAACACGAAGUCAAAGGGUGAGCAGAGCACCUCGGGCCGGCCCUCCUCCCCUGGGAGGAUCCACCUCUCCCAUGGGACAGGGACAGCUACGACUUUCGGCGGCUCCCUUCUAGGCACUGUUCCAAGCAUCUCAUGGACUGUUCUGUGUCUCCUCCCAAAGGAGGAGGGGGAAACUGAGGCCUCAGGAAAGGGGCAGCUUGCACAGAGCCAUACAGCCGGGGCCUCAGAUAAAUGUGAUUGCUCCAGAUCCCUACCAGCACAAGUCAGGCAAAUCUGUACAUUCAAUGUUAGCAAAGUUUGGUUGGUUGGUUGGUUGUUUUUUAGAGAGAGGGUCUCACUGUGUUGCCCAGGCUAGUCUUGAACUCGAGCUCAAGUGAUCCUCCUGCCUCAGCCUCCAAAGUGCUGGGAUUACAGGCAUGAGCCACUGCUACUGGCCUGCAAAGUUUUUGUUUGUUUGGUUUGAGAGUCUUGCUUUGUCACCCAGGCUGGAGAACAGUGGCACAAUCAUGAUUCACUGCAGCCUCCACUUCCUGGGCUCAAGCGAUCCUUCUGCCUCAGCCUCCCAAGUAGCUGGGACUGCAGGCAUGCACCACUACACCCGGCUAAUUUAUUUAUUUAUUUAUUUUUUUUGAGACGGAGUUUUGCUCUUUUGCCCAGGCUGGAGUGCAGUGGCACAAUCUCAGCUCACUGCAACCUCUGCCUUCCAGGUUCAAGCGAUUCUCCUGCCUCAGCCUCCUGAGUAGCUGGGAUUACAGGUGCCUGCCACCAAACCUGGCUAAUUUUUGUAUUACUAUUAAAGAUGGGGUUUCACCGUGUUGGCCAGGCUGGUCUCGAACUCCUGACCUCAUGAUCCACCUGCCUCCGCCUCCCAAAGUGCUGGGAUUACUGGUGUGAGCCACGGUGCCGAGCCACAUCCGGCUAAUUUUUUAAGAUUUCUGAUUAUUGUAGAGAUGGGGUCUCACUAUGUUGCCCUGGCUGGUCUUGAACUCUUCCUGGCCACAAGUGAUCCUCCUGCCUCGGCUGUUUUAUUCUUAUUUUAUAGAAAAGAAUAACUUAAAAAGAAAGUGUUAUUUUUUUUUUCUCACGUGAGUAAAUGAUCUUGUGCAUCCACUCCAGAGGCCACUGGAUUAGUAUCAGUUUGAUGUCUUGUUACCCAUCCAGACUGAUUUCUGAGAAGCAGGAGGAAAGAAAUGAGUUCCUCAAUGAGUGAAAAGAAAGAACCUCAUUUUACAGAUGGGGCCCUGAGUGAGGCUCAGAGAGGUUCAGGAAGCUGCCCCAGGGCACACAGCGAGGGAGCAACAGAGCCUGGGAGCCGAGGACAGGGACACCCUCCAGCCUGCAGGGCCCCAUCAGCACCCAGGUUGCAGAGUGGGGACUCACGGAGGAGAAGGCGUCCCCAGGGCAUAAGACGCCUCCCCCACUGCCCAUCAGCGCAGAUGGCCACCCGAGCUGCCAGUGAGAGAGGACGCGCUGCUUGGCUAAGCCGCUGUUGUUUGGGAUUUUCUAUCUCUCGAAUCCUAAAGGGUAGAGUUUGCUUACCAAUGCCGCCCUCACCCCUACAGUUGGGGAAACCAGAGCCUGGAGGGUGGUGCUCUAAGAGUGAUCCCAGUCACACUGGCACUCCGAGUGCCACCUUCCACGCCGUCACUUUAGGAGUUUGCUGUGAGGUUAGCCUCAUCAGCAAACUCGAGGCUGGCUUCCUAUCCUCUUGCUCAGGGAGCAACCCUGGCACUACUGGGGAGGACUCUUGGGGAUUAUCUUGAGAGCACUCUCAGAGGAGCACUCCAAGGAGUACUCUUUGGGAGCAUAUCUGGGGAGCACUCUUGGGGGGGAACAUAUCUGGGGAGCAGUAUCGGGAGCACCUGCAGGGAGUAUUCUCGGGCAUAUGCUUGGGUAGCACUCUCAAGGAGCACUCAGGGCACAUACUUGAACAUUCUCAGGCCACAUACUUGGGGAGCACCCUCAGGGAAGUACUCUAGGGAGUACUCUUGGGGAGCCUAUCUGGGGAGUAGCAUCAAGGAGCACUCUCGUGGGAGCACUACCUUAGUCUCCUUGCUCGCCACUGGCUUCACUGGCGUCAGAAGCAAUUCCACAAGCCCAGCCCCUCCUGUCCUCCCUGAUUCCCCACAGGACAGUGCCAUCCCCUCGGUGGGAAUGGGCUCCUAUUAUGGGUUUGCAUUCCCAUGGCGCCAAGUCGGUCCUGAGAAGAUCCUCCGGGAUUGCUGACCAUCCACUUCCCCGCAGGGGGGCUCAAACCCAGGCUGUGAAUUCGGGGAAGUGGGAAACAGAACUUUUUGGAUGUCCCUAGAUGGUGCCUCCCCCCCACCCCCACUACACACACACAAACACACACACACACACACACACACCACUUCCAUGGCGCCAGGAGAGAGUUUGGUCCUUCAGCAAGAUCACACUCUUCUCCAUAUGACCCCAGCCAAUGAGCGGGCGAGACCUGGCCAUCUCUGCCCCAUGCGGGACUCUCUCAUGGGCCGUGCUGGCUCCAGCAUCGCAGUCUAACAGCUCCCUGCCGCAUUUCGUUCCCUCUGUGCUCCUUCCCCAGUGUCACUCCUCCUUCAAACCCCAAGAACCCGUUUGCCCUCCGCAGUCCUUCUCAGCAUCUGCUUCCUGAACGACCCAACCUCCGUUCUGCACUGGCCCGGUCACCCCACCGAAACUGGCAACUCCUGCUCCCACCUAACGUCAUCAUGGGACCUAAAAGCAGACCAGUCCCCACUGCUGUCCUCCCCGAGGCUCAGCUCUGCCCAGGAACCCGCUGCCUGCUCCCAUCCCUGGUCCUUUAGGCCCAUGGCAUCUGCUCUCUCGGGACAGUGCUCCCCCUGCACCAGUCAGCCUGCCCUGGGCUCUCAGGAGGCAAAGCCAGCCAUCCCUCAGUUUCCACUUCACCCCUUCCCAAGGCAGUGAGCUUGGGGGCAGCUCGAAUCAGUGGGAGGACAAACCAAGGGGGAUCUCAAACUCAUCACGAUGUGCUCGCACAGAAACCCCUCAUCUCACGCGGUCAAUUACAAACCCUGGGAAGUGGGGACAGGCGAGGCCCAAGGGGCCCUGAGAGCAGGGAGGCAGAGCCUGAGGGCAGAUUCUCUGAAUCCUGAAGAAUAAGCAGAAGCAGCAAACUCAGCAAGGUGGGGGGGCUCCAGGCAGAGGGAACAGCUUGUGCAAAGGCCCUGGGGCAGGCCAAGGGCAGAGAACUUAAGGUAUGGAAAAAAAAAAAAAAAGGCAUGGAAAGGAGGCCAGCAUGGCUAGGAGCAGAGAACAGAGAAGGGAGGUUGGGAGGUGAGAAGGGAUGGCCCUGGGUGCUGAGACUCAGAACAGAAUGGGCCAGUCCCCUUUUUUUGUUUGUUUGAGACAGAGUCUUGUUCUGUCAUCCAGGUUGGAGUGCAGUGGUGCAAUCUCGGCUCACUGCAACCUCCAUCUCCUUGGUUCAAGUGAUUCUCCCACCUCAGCCUCCCAAGUAGCUGGGAUUACAGGUGCACGCCACCAUGCCUAGCUAAUUUUUGUGUUUUUAGUAGAGAUUGAAAUUCACCAUGUUGGCCAGGCUGGUCUCAAACUCCUGUCCUCAAGUGAUCCACCUGCCUUGGCAUCCCAAAGUGCUGGGAUUACAGACGUGAGCCACUGCACCUGGCCUAGGGCUGUCCCCUCUAAGAACACACAGACUUGUGGGUGAUGGUCAGAGGACAGCUCAGAUGAGCUCAGCUCAGGUCAGUUCCACAGGAGUCACUAUACUACAUUUUACAAAGGGAUUGGGGGGACUCUGUGAGCACCACAAAAUUCGAUCUGUCCCAUUCUGUGGCAGCUGUGUGGUGUGGGUGCCACAGAAUGGGUGACUACUCUAAGCAAAUCAAGGUGCUCUCAUUCCCCUGGUCAGAGCAAUUGGUUCAGUAGUAGGAAUAAACAAGGAAUCCCACAGCCCAGCUGGCUGGCAGCUAUCCUAAACUGAGUCCUUAGAGAUGUAAGCUGCUGGAUCAAGCUCGACCUGAAGCCUACCCUACCACUGCACAUUUUCCAUCACACCAAAUUCCCUGCAUUGUGAAGCUGUUUCGAGCUAGGUUUUUUAUUAUUUGCUACCAAACACAUCCUGCAACAGGUGGUGGGAGUGAGUUCCUGCAGAAACUCAAUGGAGCAUUAAGGCCACCUCGGAAGCCAUACACAGCAGUCUCCAGAGGGCAGCAAGCUAGAGAAUGACUCUGCAGUGUCAGGGAGGGUCAAGCUGUAUUUUAAAAAGCAACGGAAGGCUUGGGAAAUGCAGCUUUUAGAUAGCAAAGGUCUGUGGUGCCCCAAGUGGCCCCCAUCAGCCAGGAGUGGGUGUUUUGGAGGGAGGAGGUGGCUGGCCUGGGGAAUGGGUCCAGGCCUCCCAGUUCACCAGAUCUCCAGGCCACGUUAUGGCGGAAGGCCAUCCCUAUCGCUGUGCCUGGCUGGCCUGGGCCCACAGCCUGCCUCGCCGGGGAAAGGAACCCCUGCCACGACGGAGCAACUAUUCAAUUCUCUCAGCGAGAGCGCUGCCAGCUUCCUCACUCACACAGCCCAGCUGGAGAACUGCCCACAAGUUAAAAAAUAUUUCUUUCCAGCAGACAUUGCUCCGGCGGAUUCAAGCCUUAUCUUUCUCUUCCAGAGGAGAAUUGUUCAUUUCACUUCCUUAAAAAAAAAAAACAACCCCAAAACCUUAAACCACAAACUGAAAAGCAGGUGGGACCGUUUCAGGAUUUGGCUGAAGUUUGUCUCAGAGCUGAUAAGGGACAGUCAGUUGUUUCUGGGCAACACAGCAGCGAACGGGCAGGGAGACGGGUCCACACUGUCCGUCAAUAAAACCACCCCCCAAGGCCUUGCUCUGUAUAGAGAGGUUUCUGGCCACCCACAGUGGCUCACGCCUGUAAUCCCAGCAUUUUGGGAGGCCAAGGCGAGUGGAUCGCUUGAGGUCAGGAGUUCGAGACCAACCUGGCCAACAUGGUGAAACCCCGUCUCUACUAAAAAUACAAAAAUUGGCCGGGCGUGGUGGCUGAUGCCUGUAAUCCCAGCACUUUGGGAGGCUGCGGCGGGCGGAUCACGAGAUCACGAGUUCGAGACCAGCCUGAUCUACAUGAUGAAACUCCGUCUCUACUAAAAAUACAAAAAUUAGCCAGGCAUUGUGGCGUCCACCUGUAAUCCGAGCUACUCAAGAGGCUGAGGCAGGAGUAUCGCUUAACUCGGGAGGCAGAGGUUGCAGUGAGCCAAGAUUGCGCCACUGCACUCCAGCCUGGGCAACACAGCGAGACUCCGUCCCCCAAAAAAAAAAAAAUUAGCUGGGCGUGGUGGCACAUGCCUAUAGUCCCAGCUACUUUGGAGGCUGAGGCAUGAGAAUCACUUGAACCCGGAGGCAAACAAUGUCUUAACAGAGCAGAAAUGUCAACGCUGGCUGCUGGGUUGGCAGGGCAUUUUGAAAGCAAGUGUGGGCUGGAUGUGGUGGCUGACAGCUGUAAUCCCAGCACUUUGGGAAGCCAAGUUGGGAGGAUUGGUUGAGCCCAGGAGUUUGAGACCAGCCUGGGCAACAUAGUAAGACCCCUCCACCCACAGCCCAUCUCUACAAAAAAUUAACUGGGCAUGGUGGUAUGUACCUAUAGUCACAGCUACUGAGGAAGCUGAGGGUAGAGGACUGCCUGAGGCCAGGAAGUCGAGGCUGCAGUGAGACAUGAUCAUGCCAUUGCACUCCAGUCUGGAUGAUAGAGCAAGACACUGUCUCAAGAAAGAAAAAAACAGAAAGAGAAGAAAAGAAAACAAACGUGUGACCUACUCCAGAACUCAGGCCGGCGGUAGGAUUUUACCAGACACAGGUCUGCAGAGAUGGACCACAGGGCCCUGGCCUUGGCUCAGCCCCAGUACAGUAAGUAAUCAAUAAAUAGCACAAGGGGGCCGGGCGUGGUGGUUCAUGCCUGCAAGCCCAGCACUUUGGGAGGCCAAGGCGGGUGGAUCACCCGAGGUCAGGAGUUUGAGAUCAGCCUGACCAACAUGGUGAAACUCCAUCUCUAUUAAAAACACAAAAAAUGCUGGCUGGGCACGGUGGCUCACACCUGUAAUCCCAGCACACUGGGCGGCCGAGGCAGGUGGAACACGAGGUCAGGAGAUCAAGACCAUCCUGGCUAACAUGGUGAAACCCCGUCUCUACUAAAAAUACAAAAAAUUAGCCAGGCGUGGUAGCAGGCGCCUGUAGUCCCAGCUACUCAGGAGGCUGAGGCAGGAGAAUGGCGUGAACCUGGGAGGCAGAGCUUGCAGUGAGCAGAGAUUGUGCCACUGCACUCCAGCCUGGGCAACAGAGUGAGACUCCAUCUCAAAAAAAAAAAAAAAUACAAAAAAUUAGCUGGGCAUGGUGGUGUGCACCUGUAAUCCCAGCUACUCGGGAGGAUGAGGCAGGAGAAUCACUUGGGCCCAGGAGGCAGAGGCUGCCGUGAGCUGAGAUCACGCUGUCGUACUCCAGCCUGGGCAGCAGAGUGAGACUCUGUCUCUAAAUAAAUAAAUAAAUAAAUGGCACAAGGGCAUAGCAGUCACCUGAUGAGUCACGCAGCCUUUUGGCCAGGCACAGUGGCUCGUGCCUGUAAUCCCAACACUUUGGGAGGCUGAGGCGGAAGGCUUGCUUGAGGCCAGGAGUUCAAGACCAGCCUAGGCAACAUAGUGAGACCCCAUCUCUACAAAAAAAAUAAGCCAAGUGUUGUGGUGCAUGCCUGUAAUAUCACAUACUUGGGAGGCUGAGGCAGGAGAAUCACUUGAACCUGGGAGGUGGAGGUUGCAGUGAGCCAAGAUCGCACUUCAGCCUGGGCGACAGAGUGAGUGAGACUCGGUCUCCAAAAAAACAAACAAACAAAAAGACAGUGCCUGACACAUAGUGAAAUAGGGCUACUAUUAAUUGUUAGACAUUGUGAAAUUUAAUAUAAUCAUGAAACACUCUGCAAAUACAAAGGCCAAUAGUUGAAGACACAGAGAUACCAUGAGUCUGUCAUUACCACGCCCCUUCCUCCCCCUCCCUCAAAUAAUGCCUCAAUUCAUAACUUUGUUAUUUUGUUUUUUGAGACAGGUUCUCGCUCUGUCACCCAGGCUGGAGUGCAAUGGUGCGAUCUCCGCUCACCGCAACCUCUGCCUUCUGGGUUCAAGUGAUUCUCAUGCCUCAACCUCCCGAGCAGCUGGGGUUACCGGCAUGUGCCACGACACCAGCUAAUUUUUGUAUUUUUAGUAGAGAUGGGGUUUCACCAUGUUGGCCAGGCUGGUCUUGAACUCCUGACCCCAAGCGAUCUGCCCACCUCGGCCUCCCAAAGCCCUGGGAUUACAGCCGUGAGCCACCAUGCCCAGACUCAGGCCUAAUCUGAUGGCAGAGGCUUGGGACGUGCACCCGGGCCUCCAUCCCAAGCCCGGCCUCGCUAUCUGCACAUUGCCGCCCCUCUGCAGCCCCGAAACAUUUGUUCCACCAGCUGCAAGGGCGUUCUCACCUCCCUUCAUCCCUCACCAUAUUUUUUUGUUUUGUGGAAGCUGCACAGUUCUGAAGUAAUCGUGCUACUGGGAAACAGGGCUGAGAGUCUCGUUUGUUCAAAGAAAAUCUUUUCCUUCCACGCACAAGUGCUGUGUUUGCACCAUAAAUUGCCUUCUGCAUUAGGUCCCCGCCAGCCUUUCUCCUGGUGUCCUGGUGCCCAACCCUCCCCGAAGGGCUCCAGUCCUGCACUCUCGGGGUGGCAGGUGGCUGCAAACACAGCCGGACCUGAGCCCAGCUCAGCAGCUCAGGGAUAGGUCAGGGAAUAACAAGGGCAGGAGUUCACAUUUAUUGAGCACCUACUAUGUGCUGGGCACUGCACUGGGCACUUCCUUAAUCGGCUGCAUUUUCUUCCUUCCAGCCAGGCACGGUGGCUUCUACCUGUAAUCCCAGCGCUUUGGCAGGCUGAGGCCAGAGGAUCGCUUGAGCCCAGGAGUUCCAGACCAGCCUGGGCAACAUACUCGGUUGAUACAAAAGUAAUUGUGAUUUUUGCCAUUAAAAGUAAUGGCAAGAACCACCUUUACUUUUGCACCAACCUAAUUACAAGACGCCAUCCCUACAAAUUUAAAUUACCAGGUGUGGUGGUGAGUGCCUGUAGUCCAAGCUACUUGGGAGGCUGAAGUGGGAGGAUUGCUUACACCCAGGAGGUCAAGGCUGCAGUGAGUUAUGAUCGUGCCACUACACUCUGGCCUGGGCAACAGAGCAAAACUCUGUCUCUAAAAGAAACAAAAUUGGCCAGGCGCAGUGGCUCAUGCCUGUAAUCCCAGCACUUUGGGAGGCCAAGGCGGGCAGAUCACCUGAGGUCAGGAGUUUGAGACCAGCCUGGCCAAUAUGGUGAAACCCUGUCUCUACUAAAAAUACAAAAAUUGGCCAGGCAUGAUGGCGGGCGCCUGUAGUCCCAGCUACUCGAGAGGCUGAGGCAGGAGAAUCACUUGAGCUUGGGAGGCAGAGGUUGCAGUGAGCCGAGAUCAUGCCACUGCACUCCAGCCUGGGAGACAGUGCAAGACUCCGUCUCAAAAGAAAGAAAAAAAAGAAACAAAAUCAGCUGGGCACAGUGGUUCACUCCUGUAAUCCCAGCACUAUGAGGGACUGAAUCACCUGAGGUCGAGUUCGAGACUAGCCUGGCCAACACAGUGAAGCCCCGUCUACUAAAAUUAGCUGGCAUGGUAGCACACACCUGUAAUCCUAGCUACUCAGGAGGCUGAGGCAGGAGAAUGGCUUGAACCCAGGAGGUGGAGGCUGCAGUGACCCAAGAUCGCACCACUGCACUCCAGCCUGGGCAACAGAGUGAGACUCUGUCUCCAAAAAAGAUAAAAGAAAAGAAACAAAAUCCUCACAGAACGCCGUGAGGUGGGCCCAUCCAUCAUUAUCUCAUUUUACAGAGAAAAAAUGAAAGUAUUCACUUGCCCGAGGCCGGUACAGGAAGCCAGGCAUUACCUACCCCACUGUGGGUACCCACUGGUACGUUGGGAGAUGAAUUCAUCUCCUGUUGGCACGCAUUUCCUUUUUACAUAAAAUUACAUAAAACAGAAUCAGUCACUAUGUCACAAGCCAUGGCAGAGGGAGGCCCCGGGCUGGGUCAGGCGUUGCAGGCAGUACCCAGCUCGCCAUGGAUUGUGGCCAAAUGAGGUUGAGAGACGAUGUUUUCACCUGCAGCUCUCAAAUGCUUGCUCUCAGGAAUCUCCACUCUCUUACUGGGGACCCAGCCGCAAAUGACAUCUUAAUAACAAUAUGAAAAUAAUUUUGCCAGAUGCAGUGGCUCAUGCCUGUAAUCCCAGCACUUUGGGAGGCCGAGGCGGAUGGAUCACGAGGUCAGGAGAUUCAGACCACCCUGGCUAACAUGGUGAAACCCUAUCUCUACUAAAAAUACAAAAAAUUAGCCAGGUGUGGUGGCGGGCGCCUAUAGUCCCAGCUACUCGGGAGGCUGAGGCAGGAGAAUGGUGUGAACCCAGGAGGCGGAGCUUGCAGUGAGCCAAGAUCGCGCCACUGCACUCCAGCCUGGGCGACAGAGUGAGACUUGGUCUCAAAAAAAAAAAAAAAAAAAAUAUAUAUAUAUAUAUAUAUAUAUAUAAUAUAUAUACACACACACAUGCAUAAAUGACCAGUGAGCACAUGCAAAGAAGCCCAACCUUAUUAACCAUCAGGGAAAUACAAAUCAAAAGUAUCAUGAGAUACUACCACCUCACAUCUACUAAGAUGCCUGUAAUCAAACAGACAGAAAACAGCAAGUGUUGGCAAGCACAUGAAGAUAUUGGAACCCUCAAAUAUUGCUGGUGGGAAUAUAAAAUGGUGCAGCUGCUGAGGAGAACAGGUUGGCAUUUCCUGAAAAUGUUGCCGUAUGACUUAGCAAUUUUACUUCUAGUAUAUAUCCAAGAGAAUUGAAAACACGUCCACCUAAGAAUUUGGCCAUGAGGGCUGGGGCAGUGGCUCAGGCCUGUAAUUCCAGCGCCUUGGGAGGUCAAGGCAGGAGGAUCACUUGAGGCCAGGAGCUCCACAUCAGCCUGGGCAACAUAACAAGACCUCAUCUCCACAAAAUAUUUAAAAUUAGAUGGGUGUGGUGGUGCAUGCUUGCAGUCCCAGCUACUUGGGAGGCUGAGGCAGGAGGAUUGCUUGAGCCCAGGAGGUCAAGGCUGUAGUGAACCACGAUUGUGCCACGGCACUCCCUCCUGGGUGACAGGGUGAGACCCUGUGUCAAAACAGAAAAAAAAAAGUUUUGGAAUGGAUGGUGGUGAUGAUUGCACAACAUAAAUGUGCUUCAUGCCCCUGAACUAUAUAUAUAUUUAUUUAUUUAUUUAUUUAUUUAUUUUUUUUUUUUUUUUUUUUUUUUUUUUUUGAGACGGAGUCUCGCUCUGUCGCCCAGGCUUGAGUGCAGUAGUGCAGUCUCGGCUCACUACAACCUCUGCCUCCCAGGUUCAAGCGAUUCUCCUGCCUCAGCUUCCUGAGUAGCUGGGAUUACAGGCGUGCGCCACCACACCCAGCUAAUUUUCAUAUUUUUAGUAGAGACGGGGUUUCGCCAUGUUGGUCAGUCUGGUCUCGAACUACUGACCUCAUGAUCCACCCACCUCAGCCUCCCAACGUGCUGGGAUUAAGGUGUGAGCCACCGCGCACCUGGCCUGAACUAUACAUUUUUAAAUAACUGGCCGGGCGCGGUGACUCAGGCCUGUAAUCGGAGCACUUUGGGAGGCCAAGGUGGGCGGAUCACGAGGCCAGGAGUUCAAGACCAGCCUGGCCAACAUGGUGAAACCCUGUAUCUACUAAAAAUACAAAUAUUAACUGGGCAUGGUGGCUCAUGCCUGUAAUCCCAGCACUUUGGGAGGCCGAGGCAGGCGGAUCACCUGAGGUCAGGAGUUCAAGACCAGCCUGGUCAACAUGACAAAACCCUGUCUCUACUAAAAAUACAAAAAUUAGCCAGGCAUGGUGGCGCACAUCUGUAAUCCCAGCUAUUCGGGAGGCUGAGGCAGGGAGAAUUGCUUGAACCCAGGAGGCAGAGGUUGCAGUGAGCCGAGAUCACGCCACUGGACUCCAGCCCAGGAGACAGAGCAAGACUCCAUCUCGAAAAUAAAAUAAAAUAAAAUAAGAAUACAAAAAUCAGCUGGGCGUUGUGGCAGGUGCCUGUGGUUCCAGCUACUUGGGAGGCUGGGGCAGAAGAAUUGCUUCAACCCAGGAGACGAAUGUUGCAGUGACCCGAGAUGACACCACUGAACUCUAGCCUGGGCCAAUGAGCAAAACUCUUAUCUCAAAAAAAAAAAAAAAAAAAACACUAAGAUGGUUAAUUAAAAAAAAAAAAAAAAGUGGGUGGGAGCAUGGAACAUAUAUUCACAUUUGUUUGGAUAUUAAAAAAAAAAAAACUACCAGUGGCUGGGCGUGGUGGCUCACACCUGUAAUCCCAGCACUUUGGGAGGCCGAGGUGGGCAAAUCACCAGAGGUUAGGAGUUUGAGACCAGCCUGGACAACACGGUGAAACCCCGUCCUACUAAAAAUAUAAAAAUUAGCCGGUUGUGGUGGUGCGCGCCUGUAAUCUCAGCUACUCGGGAGGCUGAGGCAGGAGAGUCACUUGAACCCAGGAGAUGGAGGUUGCAGUGAGCCGAGACUGUGCCAUUGCACUCCAGCCUGGGCGACAGAACGAAGCUCCAUCUCAACAAACAAUACUAAUAAAAUAAACAACUUUCUUACAAUCAAAAUAAAAGAUCAUAUCGUAUCUAGUUUCUGCAACUUCUCUCUGGGAUCAAUAGACUGUGAACUAUUUUUUGUUUACCAGAUCUAUGAUAGGUACGAUUUUAUUGAUUAUUUUUUUUGAGACGGUCGUGCUCUGUCGCCCAGGCUGCAGUGCAGUGGCAUGAUCUCAGCUUACUGCAACCUCCGCCUCCCUGGUUUGAGUGAUUCUCCUGCCCCAGCCUCCCAAGUAACUGGGACUACAGGCGCACACCACCACACACAGGUAAUUUUUGUAUGUUUAGUCGAGACGGGGUUUCACCAUGUUGGUCAGGCUCUUCUGGAACGCCUGACCUCAAGUGAUCCACUCACCUCAGCCUCUCAAAGUGGACUGAUUGAUUGACUGAUUGAUUGAUUGAGACAGUCUCACUCUGUUGCCCAGGCUGGAGUGCAGUGGUGCGAUCAUAGCUCACGGCAGCUUUGAACUCCUGGACUCAAACAGUCCUCCCACCUCACACCACUGCACUCCAGCUCGGGCAACAGAGCAAGACUGUGUCUCAAAAAUAAAAAUAAACAAAAAUAAAAUCUGGAAAAAGGGGGAGAGAGGGAGGGAGGGGAGAAAUGGUGGAAAAACUACCUAUUGGGUACUAUGUUCGCUAUUUGGGUGAUGAGUUCACUGGAAGCCCAAACCCCAGAUUAUACAAUACACCCAUGUACAAAAGCUGCACAGGUACCUCCUAAAUUUUUUUUUUUUUUUGGAAAUGGAGUCUUAGUCUGUCGCCCAGUCUGGAGUGCAGGGGCACAAUCUCAGCUCACUGCAACCUCUGCCUCCCAGGUUCAA